rnacentral:rRNA from 1 species
UACGAAGGGGGCUAGCGUUGCUCGGAAUUACUGGGCGUAAAGGGCGCGUAGGCGGAUACUUAAGUCAGGGGUGAAAUCCUGGAGCUCAACUCCAGAACUGCCUUUGAUACUGAGGAUCUUGAGUACGGGAGAGGUGAGUGGAACUGCGAGUGUAGAGGUGAAAUUCGUAGAUAUUCGCAAGAACACCAGUGGCGAAGGCGGCUCACUGGCCCGUUACUGACGCUGAGGCACGAAAGCGUGGGGAGCAAACAGG